rnacentral:pre_miRNA from 1 species
CCUCCGUCAACAGAUCAAGACGCUCCGGCACAAGUACCCACAUGCCAAGUUCAUUACCGCCGAGUACUACAAACCCUUCCUUGCAUUCUUAGAUAUGCCGGGGCAUUUUGGACUGAAUAGCAGCACAACCCUCCUCACCUGUUGUGGUGCAGGAGGC